GGACGGGUGAGUAACGCGUGAGAAUCUGCCUUCAGGUCGGGGAUAACAGUUGGAAACGGCUGCUAAUACCGGAUGUGCCGAGAGGUGAAAGAUUUAUUGCCUGGAGAUGAGCUCGCGUCUGAUUAGCUAGUUGGUGGUGUAAGGGACCACCAAGGCGUCGAUCAGUAGCUGGUCUGAGAGGAUGAUCAGCCACACUGGGACUGAGACACGGCCCAGACUCCUACGGGAGGCAGCAGUGGGGAAUUUUCCGCAAUGGGCGAAAGCCUGACGGAGCAAUACCGCGUGAGGGAGGAAGGCUCUUGGGUCGUAAACCUCUUUUCUCAAGGAAGAAGAAAGUGACGGUACUUGAGGAAUAAGCAUCGGCUAACUCCGUGCCAGCAGCCGCGGUAAUACGGAGGAUGCAAGCGUUAUCCGGAAUGAUUGGGCGUAAAGGGUCUGCAGGUGGAACUGAAAGUCUGCUGUUAAAGAGUUUGGCUUAACCAAAUAAAAGCGGUGGAAACUACAGAACUAGAGUGCGGUAGGGGCAAAAGGAAUUCCUGGUGUAGCGGUGAAAUGCGUAGAUAUCAGGAAGAACACCGGUGGCGAAAGCGUUUUGCUAGACCGUAACUGACACUGAGGGACGAAAGCUAGGGGAAA
rnacentral:rRNA from 1 species